GACGAACGCUGGCGGCGUGCCUAAUACAUGCAAGUAGAACGCUGAAGAGAGGAGCUUACUCUUCUUGGAUGAGUUGCGAACGGGUGAGUAACGCGUAGGUAACCUGCCUUGUAGGGGGGGAUACUAUUGGAAACGAUAGCUAAUACCGCAUAACAAUGGAUGACACAUGUCAUUUAUUUGAAAGGGGCAAUUGCUCCACUACAAGAUGGACCUGCGUUGUAUUAGCUAGUAGGUGAGGUAAUGGCUCACCUAGGCGACGAUACAUAGCCGACCUGAGAGGGUGAUCGGCCACACUGGGACUGAGACACGGCCCAGACUCCUACGGGAGGCAGCAGUAGGGAAUCUUCGGCAAUGGGGGCAACCCUGACCGAGCAACGCCGCGUGAGUGAAGAAGGUUUUCGGAUCGUAAAGCUCUGUUGUAAGUCAAGAACGGGUGUGAGAGUGGAAAGUUCACACUGUGACGGUAGCUUACCAGAAAGGGACGGCUAACUACGUG
rnacentral:rRNA from 1 species